AGCGCGUGCGGCCGCCGAGCACAUGGGCCCGCGGGCCGGGCGGGCUCGGGGCGGCCUGGACCCGGACGGGCGGCGAGGGGCCGCGCGCGGGGACGGGCCCCGGCACCCCCCGGGCCCCCCGAGCGGAUUUCCACGCCGAGAGGAUGUUGGCAGCGCCGGCGACCUGCCGAGACGCGGCGGGAUCCACCUUCCAGUUUUCCAAAGAGAGCCUGGCAACCCCCAGAGGCCCACUCCACCACCCUGAGUCCUGGCUCCCGGAGCUGUUUUGCUGCUGGAGCAAGCAAGCCCUGGAGAAACGUGGGUUUGUGUGUGUGCUGGGGGGGCGGGAGCCUUGAGGAUGUGGGGACUGUGUCUGCUCUGCUGUUAGUCAUAGGAUGUUGCAGACCUAUUUUGCAUACUGGCGUUGACAAGUUGAGGCUUGUUCACUUGACACAGUCCUGUGGUCACAGCCAAUCUUUCUAAAACCCUAA
rnacentral:lncRNA from 1 species